UACGGGGGAGCAAGCGUUGUUCGGAUUUCCUGGGCGUAAAGGGCGCGUAGGCGGCCACCGCAAGUCGACUGUGAAAUCUCCGGGCUUAACCCGGAAAGGUCAGCCGAUACUGCGGGGCUAGAGUGCAGAAGGGGCAACUGGAAUUCUCGGUGUAGCGGUGAAAUGCGUAGAUAUCGAGAGGAACACCUGCGGCGAAGGCGGGUUGCUGGGCUGACACUGACGCUGAGGCGCGAAAGCUAGGGGAGCGAACGGG
rnacentral:rRNA from 1 species